GCGGGAAUAGCUCAGUGGUAGAGCGCGACCUUGCCAAGGUCGAUGUCGCGGGUUCGACUCCCGUUUCCCGCU
rnacentral:tRNA from 1 species